CUAAGGCAGGUUUGAGGGUAAUGAAAGGGUGUUUUUCCCAGUCCUUUCUCCUAGCUGAGCUAGCAGAGAUGCUCAUCAGGUGCCUAAUUAAUGAGGCCAGCAGAAAUGUGGGAAGUCUAGAUAUAAGGAAAGGAAACAGAAUAGUCUAGUCUGGGCUCACCCAGGAAAACAGCAUGUCGCUGUAGGGGGAGACACAUGGACCCUGUUGAGGAAACACACAGCAGGAGCUGUGAGUGGUCCAAGAAGUGGUGUGAACUGUGAGUAAAACAGGUUGCAGGGGCACAUGUUUUAUGCUGGCUGAGGGUAGCUCACCAGUUAGUAGUCAGGGCAUGCUUACAUGUGUAGUCAGUGACCAGACGGUCUAGGACUUCGGUUUGUUCCUGAGUUAUAUUUUGUUUUACCUGUAACCUGUGUAAAUAAAGCUCGUGAGGUGCCAGACUUGUAUGCUUAACGGUUGUCUGGCGAGUUAUUGCGAGGAAACGUGUCCCGUGGUAAGUGACCAGGACGAUCCCAGAGCUAAUCCCCGAGACGGAAUGUCACAAUAUAUAUGUACAUAUAUCUAUACACAUACAUAAAUACAAAUAUAUAUACACACAUAUACAUAUAUAUACACACAUACAUAUAUAUAUAUGCAUACAUAUUUAUUUAUACAUAUAUGUACAUUCAUAUAUACAUACAAAUACAUAUUUAUAUAUAUAUAUAUCCAAAAUAAAGUGUCCCACAGCACUCCAGUUAGAUGAAAAAUCAAAGGUGAUUUAUUUUCUCAUAUGUGGCGAGCAACGUUUUGACUGUCUGCACAGUCUUUAUCAAGCAUGUAUAUGUACAUGUAUAUACAUACACAUAUCUAUAUAUAUAUAUAUACAUAUAUAUAUAUAUUUCCUCAUCGUCCCCUACGGCAGCACAGAAGGGUAAUGCGGUCUCCAGACCACCCACCAGGACCGCCCAUCUAGAUAUUAGCAUAAAUAAUUAUUUUAAUUAACCAAGGUACCAUACCUAUAAAACAACCCCGCAAACUCCCGCACGCUGCCCAUCUAUUCAAGAUUUUGUACAGCCCUGCAGGGUCUUGGCUGCAUCUAUGUCCGUGAGUAUAUGCCAGUGCGGGGUCCUGGCUCUGUCCUGCCACGGUCUGUCAGCGGCAUGGCAGGACUAUAGCCAGUGCGGGAUCCUGGCUUUUAGGAGGUUCCAGUGCGGGGUCCUGGUCUCCGUUAACGGCAGUGUGUUCCAGAGGAAAGAUUGCCGGUGAAGUAUCCUAGCCGUUAUACUCAUGUCUGCUGCCUGCCGCCGCCGCCUAAAGAGGGAUGCUGCGCUGCGCUGUAAGUCUCUGGACCACGGUAAGUGUCAGCCGCUCUCCGGCUUAAUUAUUAUUUGUGAUCAGGGCUUACACAUUCGUGCUCGUGAUAACCAUGAUAUAUAUUUACUUGUAAUGUACACAUUAUAACCUUUAACAUAUCGGUCUGGAGUGUCCCCAAUGACCGCGACAGAGGCCACACCUUUAGAGGGCAUGCCCUGUAAUGUAUGAAAUGAAGAAAUGAAAAGAUGGAAAAAAGAGAGGGAGGGUUGGGAGGGGUCCUCAAAAUGUCACGAACGCCACCUGAUAGGGGGCAGGGGCUAUAUAUAUAUCCCUGCCCCCGCCCACAACCCCUUAUGUGCCACCUUGAUGUGUAGGGGGGUUGGAGAUGUUACCGCCCAUAUCACAAAUACAGCCUAAUUAGGCUUUACACUUGUGAUCAGGGCUUACACAUUCCUGCUUGUGAUAACCAUGAUAUAUAUUUACUUGUAAUGUACACAUUAUAACCUUUAACAUAUCGGUCUGGAGUGUCCCCAAUGACCGCGACAGAGGCCACACCUUUAGAGGGCAUGCCCUGUAAUGUAUGAAAUGAAGAAAUGAAAAGAUGGAAAAAAGAGAGGGAGGGUUGGGAGGGGUCCUCAAAAUGUCACGAACGCCACCUGAUAGGGGGCAGGGGCUAUAUAUAUAUCCCUGCCCCCGCCCACAACCCCUUAUGUGCCACCUUGAUGUGUAGGGGGGUUGGAGAUGUUACCGCCCAUAUCACAAAUACAGCCUAAUUAGGCUUUACACUUGUGAUCAGGGCUUACACAUUCCUGCUUGUGAUAACCAUGAUAUAUAUUUACUUGUAAUGUACACAUUAUAAACUUUUAACAUAUCGGUCUGGAGUGUGUCCAAUGACCGCAACGGAGGCCGCACUUUUAGAGGGCAAAAGUCAAUCUGGUAGGGAAUCAAAUGUUGUAAUCAUGACCAAUGCCCCUACCUUAGCACAAAUCCAAGAUAUAGUCCCGACAUUGAGACAGAAAAUAGGUGAAGCAAACUGACUGGCACAGGGAUCGAUGCCUGGAAACUGAAGAGUUGUGACAGUCAUGCCUCCUCUACACCGAAACCAGAGUUCGGCACUUGAACAGGGUCAGGCUAAACCCAAACCGAUAUCUGCUUGUAGCAUGCGGCCUAACCUCAUUGCAAGAGUGAAACACUAUGACCUGUCGGCCCAAUGAAUCCCAUCAUAUUCCUGCUAAUGAGUGGCAAAAUAGAAACUGUUAGCUAAAUAGGCACAACCAUCGACACCCGAUCGACCUUGGCGGUAACCGCCUUAUUGCCUGAAGAUCAACAAUAUCCGACUACCUUACCUGAAACUAAAUCAAUCCCAAUGCCCCAUUCCUAACUCCACUAGCCUCAUGAGUGGUGUCCCAUUACGAUAAACCCGCCCUAUUGCCAUUAUGUCUGACAUUACCAUUAUUGGUGAAUGCCGAAACUUCUGCUGAACCUAGUCGACGUAUAUAUCACCCUAUACAGUAACCCCCCCGAGCUGCGAUGGCCCCGACA